AACGCACAUUGCGCCCUUUGGUAUUCCAAAGGGCAUGCCUGUUCGAGCGUCAUUUGUACCCUCAAGCUUUGCUUGGUGUUGGGCGUUUUGUCUUGCCUUGCGGCGAGACUCGCCUUAAAACGAUUGGCAGCCGGCCUACUGGUUUCGGAGCGCAGCACAGCUUUUGCGCUUGCCAACCAGCUAAAGAGGUCAGCAAUCCAUCAAGCCCAUUUCUCACUUUUGACCUCGGAUCAGGUAGGGAUACCCGCUGAACUUAA
rnacentral:misc_RNA from 1 species